GUUGUGGUCUAGGGUGGUCUAGGGUGGUCUAGGGUGGUCUAGUGGUGGUCUAGUGGUGGUCUAGUGGUGGUCUAGGGUGGUCUAGGGUGGUCUAGUUGUGGUCUAGUUGUGGUCUAGGGUGGUCUAGUUGUGGUCUAUGGUGGUCUAGUGGUGGUCUAGUGGUGGUCUAGUGGUGGUCUAGGGUGGUCUAGUGGUGGUCUAGUGGUGGUCUAGUGGUGGUCUAGGGUGGUCUAGUGGUGGUCUAGGGUGGUCUAGUGGUGGUCUAGGGUGGUCUAGUGGUGGUCUAGGGGUGGUCUAUGGUGGUCUAUGGUGGUCUAGGGUGGUCUAUGGUGGUCUAGGGGUGGUCUAUGGUUGUCUAGUUGUGGUCCUAGUUGUGGUCCUAGUUGUGGUCUAGUGGUGGUCUAGUUGUGGUCUAGGGUGGUCUGGGGUGGUCUAGUUGUGGUCUGGGGUGG
rnacentral:lncRNA from 1 species